rnacentral:rRNA from 1 species
GCCCAGCCGUAAACUUUAAAUUACACCCCCCUAUCGCCAGGGAACUACGAGCUAAGCUUAAAACCCAAAGGACUUGACGGUACCCCACAUCCCCCUAGAGGAGCCUGUCCUAUAAUCGAUAAUCCCCGUUCAACCUCACCAUUUUUAGCCUUUCAGCCUGUAUACCUCCGUCGUCAGCUUACCUCGUGAGUGCUUCUUAGUGAGCUCAAUGUAUAUUCAUCAACACGUCAGGUCAAGGUGCAGUAAAUAAAAUGGGAAGAGAUGGGCUACACUCUCUAAUCUAGAAAACACGAAAGACUAUUUAUGAAAUCUAGUCGGAAGGUGGAUUUAGUAGUAAAAAGAAACUAUAGAGCUCUUUUUAACUCGGCACUGGGGUGUGUACACACCGCCCGUCACCCUCUUCGAAGCCAACAGACAGUAACUAACUCAUCUUAGCAUUUUAGAAGAGGCAAGUCGUAACAUGGUAAGCGUACCGGAAGGUGUGCUUGGAAA